rnacentral:rRNA from 1 species
UACGUAGGGUGCGAGCGUUAAUCGGAAUUACUGGGCGUAAAGCGUGCGUAGGCGGUUCGUCAAGUCUGAUGUGAAAGCCCCGGGCUCAACUGGGAAACUGCAUCGGAAACUGAUCGGCUUGAAGAUGGGAGAGGGUAGUGGAAUUCCCGGUGUAGUGGUGAAAUGCGUAGAUAUCGUUUGGAACGCCAAAGGUGAAAACAGACAGCUGGGAGUGUGCUGACGCUGAGACACGAAAGCCAGGGGAGCGAACGGG